UCUCCUUCGCCACCGGUUGACGAGCUCUUUCUUCAAUUUUUGAACUUGAAGUGAUGCCCCAUCGAUGUCCAGAAUUUUUAAAGUCUCCCCAUUGUACAAGUUAAACAAUAAAGUCAGAAUGAUGACGGGGAGACUUUAAAAACUUAAAGCUAAAACCCAAAACGCUCCUCUUGUUCGUUUCCGGGGACUUCACCUUGAUGGCCGAAAAGCAACUGGAAAUCCUCCGCGGGUACGAGCUGCGGCUCUUGCGCCGCACCCUCGCUCCCUCACCGUCCGAUCUUCGCAUUCAAUCGCAACCGUUGAACGAAGAAAGCCAAUGCUCUCUCCUUCCACUCCACAAGCACAUCAACAGCCUCAUCGACUCCAUCGAGUCCGGCCACUAUCUCCAGGCUCUUAAAACAGCCAGGAAGAAGAAACACUAAUUUGACUAAAAAAUCUGAUUUUUUAUUGAUAACUUUUUCUACCCUUUACAGCAGCCAAUCCGCUCUUUAAAAGUCGGAGCCAAAGAGCCCACACUGAUUAAGCCACCAUUCCCGGAAGAAAACACUCCAAACAAUUUUAAAUAACAAAAACAGUAAUUCAAAACACCUAAAAAAUAGCUAAUGGAAAUAAUCCCAAAAUAAAAUAUUGUCAAAAAAUAAAAGGUCGUUACAGCUCUGUCCUCCGACGCGGCUAAACUUGUCCUCGACACGCUCGACUUCGUCGGCAUCAACGACUGAGCCGAGUGUGC
rnacentral:lncRNA from 1 species